rnacentral:lncRNA from 10 species
GGUGGCACUGAAGGACAUGGCGGAUGGGGCAGUAACAACCACGCUUACACUGCUGGGCCGCUCCAACAGAUCCUGUGCUCUCCUAGCACAUCACAAAUCAAGGCCUUCCUGAUGAACGGUUUCAGACGGUAGAGAGCAUUCCUUCUGCCCCCCAGCAUGGAACCCCCGACUAGUGCAACCUAAGGAACAGGGAAGGGAUUCAGAAGGACCUUCCGGCAUCUGGAAAGAUUAGAAGAUUAAGGAAGAAAAUGUAGAUCUGUCUCCUCCUCCUCCUCACCAUCUUUACUGUAAUAAUGGUACUGCAUUUCAUUGCUUUGACAUUGUUCCUUAAGGUGUUCAGAACACUUCACAUAAGUUACCUCAUCUACUCAACAGCACUAGGAAACAUAUUACUCCAGGUCCAGAGAAGAGACAUGUGGAGAAGUUAUAUGUCUUUUUCAAGGUCAGAGGAAUAACAGCAGAAUCCAGUUAUUGCUACUUUCAAUGUAGUGUUGUAUUUUUUUUUAACUGAUACCACUUUUUGUUGACAUUAACAAUCAUGACAAUCAUGAUUCUACCCUCUCUGUAAUUUUCAUACAAAUGCAUUCAGAGUAACACUCCUAAAUAAGGAAUACAUCCAUCACUGCAGCCCUCAGCAUGUCACCAACUUCUCACUGUUAUAUUAUAUCAUUAAUGCUUUGGGGAUGAGGGCAGGGAAAUGAAAUGAAAAGAUCAGGGAAUUGAGCUGGGGUAACCCAGGGCUGCACAGCCCCCUUUCCCACAUAGUCGUGUACCUGGGCCAUGAGCCUCUGUAAUGGAAACUAGCUGUCCUGAAUCUUCCAGCCAGGAGCCCAGAGAAAUCACCCGUGGGGCCCCUUAUCUUCAUUUCUCAAGCUCCUUAAGGGUGGAUCCAAAAUUCAACAGGAAUGUUUGAACAGCUAUGCUGUCACUUUGCCUGCAUGACCAGCCCCCAUUAAAGGAGAAACCAGAAUGUCAGUAAUAAACCAAACUGCCUUUCUUUUAAAUUACUGUAGUUAAGCAACUAAACUACUCCAGGAGAGAAAAAAAGGGGUAAAGAAGUUGAUUUGUACCACUGAGAACACUCCCGGGAACUUAAUAAAUAUUGUAAUUUUCUAAAUAAUACUUGAUGAUAGAAAAAAAAUCCUUCUGAUGUGCCAUGUCAAAACCUUAAGUAUGUUUACAAUUUCUCUGAGAGAUGCAUUUCUCUCUUACCCUGUAAAUUAAAACAUCACAAUUAAAAGGAGAGGAGGAGCCGGGCAUGGUGGCUCACGCUUGUAAUCCCAGCACUGUGGAAGGCUGAGGUGGGCCGAUCACCUGAGGUCAGGAGUUUGAGACCAGCCUGACUAACAUGGUGAAACCCUGUCUCUACUAAAAAUACAAAAAUUAACCGGGCGUAGUGGCGGGCAUCUGUAACCCCAGCUACUCGGGAGGUUGAGGCAGGAGAAUCACUUGAACCCGGGAGGCAAAGGUUGCAGUGAGCCGAGAUGGUGCCACUGCACUCCAGCCUGGCAACAGGGCGAGACUCCACCUCAAAAAAAAAAAAAAAAAAAAAAGAGUAGGAGGUUAAGAGAAUUUUCUAUAUAUUGAGGGUUUUCUUUUUUCUUUUUGAAUAGGCAAUCUCAUUUCAGAAAGAGGCAAUAUCAAUGCCUCUGAGGUACUAAAACAUAAAUCUGACAAUGCAUUUUAAUUACAUGUGGUUAUUAAAGAAUAGUCUUUAAUUUGCUCUUUCCACCCUUUAUAUCGAAGAAAUGGCUUUUUCUGUGCCAGAUACUUACUUCUCGCAAAAGCUUAACUCAAAUACAUUUACAGCUUCCUUGUCAUUAUAGUCACUGGGAGGCACAGCUAAACCUGAAACUAAAGGUUAAACCAAAUUAAAACUAAAGGUUAAAGGAAAGCACUAAGCACUUCUAUGUCAAUUUAUAGAUGAAUCACUUAUGUAUUCUUUUCCUUCCUAAAUAAGGGCCUACACUGCUCCUGCAGAGCUUUUUCUUUUUAAUUCUUUAUUUAACCUACAUCAUGCAGGGAGUUUGCUCUUAAACAUAGAUGCUGUGGGCAAAAGAAUGUUUUGGUGAUAAUAAAUAAUAGUAUUCAAAUGCUUGCCAGCUGGGUUCAGUAUUUGUAAAAUCAGUAAUUAAGAUGCAUCCGGCUGGGACACUGGCUGAGUUGUCUAACUCCUUUCUGGUACCAAACUCUCUUGCCUCACGCACUUACUCUUUCUUGCAAGAGGCUUUUACCCCUACCAGUGUUGAGCCUGCCUCAAGCUCUUCCCCUCUCUUUUAUUUUUAUUU